rnacentral:rRNA from 1 species
AGAGUUUGAUCCUGGCUCAGGAUGAACGCCGUCGGCGUGCCUAACACAUGCAAGCCGAACGAAGCGCAUGCCUGGAACCCUCCGGGGGGAAGGGCAUAUGACUGAGUGGCGGACGGGUGAGUAACGCGUGGGCAACCUGCCCCGCACUGGGGGACAACAGCCGGAAACGGCUGCUAAUACCGCAUAUGCGCACAGCUUUGCAUGAAGCAGUGUGGAAAACUCCGGUGGUGCGGGAUGGGCCCGCGUCUGAUUAGCUGGUUGGCGGGGCAACGGCCCACCAAGGCGACGAUCAGUAGCCGGCCUGAGAGGGUGGACAGCCACAUUGGGACUGAGACACGGCCCAGACUCCUACGGGAGGCAGCAGUAGGGAAUCUUCCACAAUGGGCGCAAGCCUGAUGGAGCAACACCGCGUGAGUGAAGAAGGGUUUCGGCUCGUAAAGCUCUGUUGUUGGAGAAGAACGUGCGUGAGAGUAACUGUUUACGCAGUGACGGUAUCCAACCAGAAAGUCACGGCUAACUACGUGCCAGCAGCCGCGGUAAUACGUAGGUGGCAAGCGUUAUCCGGAUUUAUUGGGCGUAAAGCGAGCGCAGGCGGUUGCUUAGGUCUGAUGUGAAAGCCUUCGGCUUAACCGAAGAAGUGCAUCGGAAACCGGGCGACUUGAGUGCAGAAGAGGACAGUGGAACUCCAUGUGUAGCGGUGGAAUGCGUAGAUAUAUGGAAGAACACCAGUGGCGAAGGCGGCUGUCUGGUCUGCAACUGACGCUGAGGCUCGAAAGCAUGGGUAGCGAACAGGAUUAGAUACCCUGGUAGUCCAUGCCGUAAACGAUGAGUGCUAGGUGUUGGAGGGUUUCCGCCCUUCAGUGCCGGAGCUAACGCAUUGAGCACUCCGCCUGGGGAGUACGACCGCAAGGUUGAAACUCAAAGGAAUUGACGGGGGCCCGCACAAGCGGUGGAGCAUGUGGUUUAAUUCGAGGCUACGCGAAGAACCUUACCAGGUCUUGACAUCUUGCGCUAACCUUAGAGAUAAGGCGUUCCCUUCGGGACGCAAUGACAGGUGGUGCAUGGUCGUCGUCAGCUCGUGUCGUGAGAUGUUGGGUUAAGUCCCGCAACGAGCGCAACCCUUGUUACUAGUUGCCAGCAUUAAGUUGGGCACUCUAGUGAGACUGCCGGUGACAAACCGGAGGAAGGUGGGGACGACGUCAGAUCAUCAUGCCCCUUAUGACCUGGGCUACACACGUGCUACAAUGGACGGUACAACGAGUCGCAAGCUCGCGAGAGUAAGCUAAUCUCUUAAAGCCGUUCUCAGUUCGGACUGUAGGCUGCAACUCGCCUACACGAAGUCGGAAUCGCUAGUAAUCGCGGAUCAGCAUGCCGCGGUGAAUACGUUCCCGGGCCUUGCACACACCGCCCGUCA